GUCAGUGUGGUGUAGUGGUUUGAGCGUUGGACUUGGAUUCUGGAGAGCAGGGUUCGAAUCCUUGUUCAGCCA